UAAAAGCCGCCAUUGAACAACUAGGUAUCAAUGUUUCUGCAAAGUAGCUCUUGACUCAGGGUUAUCAAUCAGCGGAUUUAUCAACUGUUUACUUCAGUAUGGUGUAACUUUUGUUUAUGGAGUUGAUGUUGUAUAUGGACAGUUUUACAGGCAAGUGAUCAAGUUGAUUUGUUCCUCUUACCAGGAGUAGCAUUUGACAGACCUGGGAGACGUUUGGCUUGCGGCAGAGGCAAAUCUUGCUCAAGUGAGGGAGGCAAAUCAAGGCAGAUCAAGCAGAAAGACAAGAAAUGCAACUUGCAGAGUGAGUUGAUGGCUGCAAAG